rnacentral:lncRNA from 1 species
AUGUCAUGAUGCCUGGUCACACCUACUACCGCAGAGACAAGCCCAGAAGUUAAAUUAGGAAGCAAACGCAUUAACAGGGUGUAAAUGCAAUAUAAGCGCAAUUUACAACAGCACUAAGUUAGCAGAAGAAAAAACGUACUUGGGAGUCACGCAAAAGAAGGGAGCCUGCAAAAAGAAAAAAAAAAAAAAGCAAAGUUGAUAAUUCCACUGCUGUCCUUUGCGGGGGU